UCCUUACAAGGAUUUUAUCUCCAGAAUCACAACUCAAACAAUUCAUUCGUCACAUUAUUCCCUUUUUAUAAGGAUUCUGUCCCCAGAAUCAAAGACACAGAUUAACCAAAUAACUCAGGAUAGCUCUUCAUCAUUUUUCUUCGAGUUCCCACAUAGCUUCUUCGGCAUUGUGGUUCAUCCAUAUCACCUUUACUGAAGGUAUUACUUUAUUCCUUUGCACUUGUUCUUUC
rnacentral:lncRNA from 1 species